UACAGAGGUCUCAAGCGUUGUUCGGAUUCAUUGGGCGUAAAGGGUGCGUAGGUGGCGCCGUAAGUCGGGUGUGAAAUUUCGGAGCUUAACUCCGAAACUGCAUUCGAUACUGCGGUGCUUGAGGACUGGAGAGGAGACUGGAAUUCAUGGUGUAGCAGUGAAAUGCGUAGAGAUCAUGAGGAAGACCAGUGGCGAAAGGCGGCUCACUGGCCCGGUACUGACGCUGAGGUGCGAAAGCGUGGGGAGCAAACAGG
rnacentral:rRNA from 1 species